rnacentral:rRNA from 1 species
UGGGGAAUCUUGGACAAUGGGGGCAACCCUGAUCCAGCCAUGCCGCGUGAGUGAUGAAGGCCUUAGGGUCGUAAAGCUCUUUCGCCUGUGAAGAUAAUGACGGUAGCAGGUAAAGAAACCCCGGCUAACUCCGUGCCAGCAGCCGCGGUAAUACGGAGGGGGUUAGCGUUGUUCGGAAUUACUGGGCGUAAAGAGUUCGUAGGCGGACUAGCAAGUUAGAGGUGAAAUCCCAGGGCUCAACCUUGGAACUGCCUCCAAAACUAUUGGUCUAGAGUUCGAGAGAGGUGAGUGGAAUUCCAAGUGUAGAGGUGAAAUUCGUAGAUAUUUGGAGGAACACCAGUGGCGAAGGCGGCUCACUGGCUCGAUACUGACGCUGAGGUGCGAAAGUGUGGGG